CUGCAGCCUAUUAAACAGACUGUCCCCCUCUCCCCACGGGAGCCCAGUGUGCAGUGGCUGCAGACAGCUGUCUCCUUGGUAGUAUAUGCAGCCUGUUGCUUAUAUGGGCUGCCCUAAGGGACCUCAGAGAGAGCC